rnacentral:rRNA from 1 species
UACGAAGGGGGCUAGCGUUGCUCGGAAUCACUGGGCGUAAAGGGUGCGUAGGCGGGUCUUUAAGUCAGGGGUGAAAUCCUGGAGCUCAACUCCAGAACUGCCUUUGAUACUGAAGAUCUUGAGUUCGGGAGAGGUGAGUGGAACUGCGAGUGUAGAGGUGAAAUUCGUAGAUAUUCGCAAGAACACCAGUGGCGAAGGCGGCUCACUGGCUCGGUACUGACGCUGAGGUGCGACAGCGUGGGGAGCAAACAGG